CGUUGAAGUGUAGGAUGCUUUAAUUCAAUGCUCUUAAUAUUUUUGAUUAUGGUGGUUCAUGUCGGCGGUAAUUUCUGAUAUAAGAAAGUAUUUAUAUAUUGAUUUCUAUUGUUGAGCACUGAAUAAAGCAAACGUUCACCAUAAAAUGUGAAGUGCUUCCUCGGCACAACAUUUUAAAAUGAAAUAAUAACGUCACUGUUUACGUUCGAUUGCAUUAGUGAUUAUCUACU
rnacentral:lncRNA from 1 species